rnacentral:rRNA from 1 species
CCUACGGGGGGCAGCAGUGGGGAAUAUUGGACAAUGGGGGGAACCCUGAUCCAGCCAUGCCGCGUGUGUGAAGAAGGCCCUCGGGUUGUAAAGCACUUUCAGUGAGGAAGAACGCCUGGUGGUUAAUACCCAUCAGGAAAGACAUCACUCACAGAAGAAGCACCGGCUAACUCCGUGCCAGCAGCCGCGGUAAUACGGAGGGUGCGAGCGUUAAUCGGAAUUACUGGGCGUAAAGCGCGCGUAGGUGGCUUGAUAAGCCGGUUGUGAAAGCCCCGGGCUCAACCGGGGAACGGCAUCCGGAACUGUCAAGCUAGAGUGCAGGAGAGGAAGGUAGUAUUCCCGGUGUAGCGGUGAAAUGCGUAGAGAUCGGGAGGAAUACCAGUGGCGAAGGCGGCCUUCUGGACUGACACUGACACUGAGGUGCGAAAGCGUGGGUAGCAAACAGGAUUAGAUACCCUGGUAGUC